AUGUCGGUCAAGAUUGCGGCAAUCAAAGAGGGCUUACGCUGGCCACUGCAAGUGUUUGGUCUCGUUGCUGCGCGCGACAACUUGGAUCACAUGCGCAACAUUAUUUUUCACCGUUCGAGAAAUAACUGUCAAACCAUCACCGAAGAGGAUCCAUAUCUUGCAUUGACUGGCCCUAGUCGAGCCAUUGCCGUGUCAGUGGACCCUUCAUACGUUGAGGUUUCCCUGAAAGUCAAGGGCACUACUGAAGCCGAGGAUAAAGACCUGAGCGAUCUCGUUUUGCUGCACAGAACCGGACGUUUCCUCGGCGGUCUUUACUCUAGCAGGCUCAGCACGUUGGAACUCGCCUUUGACCAUGUUACCCGCUCCGUAGAGGCUACAAUCUUUGUAAAACUAACUUAUGGGUCUUGGCCAACCGGUUUCGGAGGUGUGAUCACUGCCAGCAGCAGUUCUCGUGAUGACCUGAAAGUCAAGUUACUUGAUUCCGGAGAUGACGGGUUGCCCAUAGAUGCCAAUGGCGCGAUCAAGCUCUCACGUCGUGUGGUUUCUAUUGGACAUGUAGAGUCUCUUAACGUUUAUGUCACUGCAGGUCGAGUUGAUGAGAAACAAGUUGUUGAGAGUGGCAGGGCAACUUUUAAGGCGCAGAGGGCUGGUGUUAGCCUUAGUGAGCUCUGCCUUGGCUUCUGUAGUAUGAAUGUUACCGUUGCUUGGUCCUGUUUCCGUCAUGAGUGGUAA
rnacentral:rRNA from 1 species